AAGACUUCUCAGGAAAGGAGGCCAAUUACAGUUGUGGAAGACGCACGAGGAAAAGGGCCGCUCCGGCCAAGUCGUAAAUCCCUUAAGGAAACAGCGCUGAAAGGAGCUAGAGGGUGACGGCCCGAGUCCUGUCCUGCGGGGGCUGCCAGGAGGUGGCAGCAGCAGCCGCAGCCUGCUGGAGGAAUCGGAGUUCAUCUGUUUUCCUGUUGGCAUCCAAACCUAGAAAUCCCUGCUUCCAGAAUCCACUCUAUCCCUUCCUUCAUUUGCUGAGCUUGGUUGGAGCCAGAGCAUCAGGAGUGCAGGAGCUGGCAAUGAGACCUCUCUGACUCUUCCAGCAAGGAGGCCACCACCGGAGCCCAAACCAAUGGAGCCCACCCAGUCUUCCGAGCCGUGAGCCUCCAAGACAGCGAGCCAAAACAAAUCUCUUCGCUUCACAAGUAGCUUCUCUCAGGUAUUUCUUUAUAGCAACAGAAGGCUGACAACUACAGUAGUGAAUCCCUGUUUCAAAGACAGUCGCUAACAGGUGCUGCUGGUGUGAUGCCAUGCUGUAGAGAUCCCACAUUGAACUUAAAAAACAAAUAUAAAUGCUUUUUAAAAAGAUCCUCCAAAUUAGAUAUAUAGGUUGGCACAUGCUCACUCGGACUUACCGCCAAUGGUGGAACUAGAAAUGUGCCAGGGGAUUUCAACUCAAUCUUACCAAGGAGGCAAGUACCAAUGCCAGCGCACUUGGUAAAGUGAUAAGUAUAAAUACACAACCGAUCAAAAAGAUAGGGUAUGUGUCUAUGAGAUUUCACAAAUAAGACCAGUGUAAGCAAAUAACGAAGGAUAGAAUUAAAAGGGAGAGAAUGAUCCUGCGGGGGAAACAGGACACACAGCAGACUCAUAGAAUGGCAGCACUCCUGCCUCAGAAUCAGCCCUUGGGACAUUCGGAUAUGGCUAAAAGGUCCAUGAGAGUCUCACAGGCAUGGAAAGCCAUGACACGGUGGCAAAAAACAAUCUAAAUGAAAGAUCCUGGUGAACAAGACCCCAGCAGAAGGAACAGGCCAUCAAGGAGGGAGGCGCCUUUCUCUGAAGGGAGGAAGGAACCUCCACUGUGAUACGGCUUUGACUAAACAAGGUCAGAGUCGGUGAACUCAAGGGGCUUCCAUAGCCUAGACAGCUCAUAGCAAGAGUCUCGGGUGAUUGCUGACGUCAUAAAUAAGAGUGCCAGUUGUUAAAUCAACAACGGGAGUCACUGGGUACAGGCUCCCCACGUAGGAUCUCUGUCCUUAAUGUGUUCUACUAUGAAACUUAAAAACAACACUACUAGUUGAACAAUACCCUAUACCUUGUGCGGUUGUGUGAGGGCAGCCUGUUGAAAUCCUUGCUUAGUAUAUACUAAGUUGAUCUUCAGUAUAUGAAGGUAAUUGAAAAUGAAACUCGAUGAAGGGCGGGAUGGGAGAGGGAGUGGGAGAGGGGAGGUCCACGGGAGGGAGGGAGGUUGGGGGGGAGCCACAACAAUACAAAAGCUGCACUUUGUAAAUUCACAUUUAUUAAAUAAAAAAAAAACUAUAUAACAAACAAAAAGAAACAGAAAAAAAAAGAACUUAAUACUUUACCCUUUUAGUUAGUAUUUUUUAUGUUCACUUAAAACUAUUGGUUGAACUCUGUAAUUAAUACACAAUUACUCUUAGGUGUUUAAUUAAUGCUAUAACUAGUACUCAUAGUAUUUUACACUUUGUGUUUCUGUGUGGGUGCAAACUGUUGAAAUCUUUACUUAAUAUAUGCUAAAUUGAUCUUCUAUAUAUAAAGAUAAUUGAAAAUUAAUCUUGAUGUGAAUGGAAGGGGAGAGGGAGUGGGAGAGGGGAGUGUUGUGGGUGGGAGGGAUGCUAUGGGGGGGGAAGCUAUUGUAAUCCAUAAGCUGUACUUUGGAAAUUUAUGUUCAUUAAAUAAAAUAAAAUAUAAAUAUAAAAAAAUCCUCCAAAUUGCUAAAUUUUUCCCCUCGCCUCCUUUUUUACUUUUUUUUCUCUUUGAGCUUUCUCCUGCACCUGCUCUCCCAUGGCAGCAGUCAUCCUCAGUCCUCUUACCCCUUGUCUACCUCAUUACUCUCCGUGCCUUCCUCUUCUUUCUACAUGUAUUUUGUUUCCUUCUACUCUGUUCUCUUCUGUCUGCCCACAACACACACCUCUCCUCUCUAUAUCAUCAUCUUUCCCACUUGCAACUCCUUCAUUGGUUAAUAUGGAACAAAAGCACUGUCAGAUAUUUUUAUAGUUGUUAAAUAAGAUGUUUUGUUAAUUUAAAAAGCAAAUAAUGAAAAUAUAUUCCUCUCUCCAGGUAGGCAAAAAAAAAAAAAAAAAAAAAAAGCUAGCUCAGACACAGCAUCAAUUAAGUACCAUGCGGGCUGUGGCCGGCACUGGGGCAUAUCGGGUGAAGCUGCCACCUGCAGUGCCAGCAUCCCAUGUGGGCGCUGAUUUGAGUCCCGGCUGC